rnacentral:rRNA from 1 species
AGAGUUUGAUCCUGGCUCAGAACGAACGCUGGCGGCGUGCCUAACACAUGCAAGUCGAGCGCGAAAGUCCCUUCGGGGGCGAGUAGAGCGGCGGACGGGUGAGUAAUACAUAGGUAAUCUACCUUCGAGCUUGGGAUAACCCCGCGAAAGUGGGGCUAAUACCGGAUAAGACCACGCAACCAUGUCGCGUGGUAGAAGGUGGCUUAUUUUUUAAAUGAGCUAUCACUUGAGGAUGAGCCUAUGGCCUAUCAGCUUGUUGGUGAGGUAAGAGCUCACCAAGGCUAUGACGGGUAGCUGGUCUGAGAGGACGACCAGCCACACUGGGACUGAGACACGGCCCAGACUCCUACGGGAGGCAGCAGUGGGGAAUAUUUGUCAAUGCCCGAAAGGGUGAACGAGCGACGCCGCGUGCGGGAUGAAGGCCCUUGGGUCGUAAACCGCUUUUGCAAGGGAAAAACUUACGUGAUGGUACCUUGCGAAUAAGAGGUUGCUAACUCUGUGCCAGCAGCAGCGGUAAUACAGAGACCUCUAGCGUUAUCCGGAUUUAUUGGGCGUAAAGCGCGGGUAGGCGGACAUAUUAGUCAGAUGUCAAAUCCUCGAGCUCAACUCGAGAACUGCAUUUGAAACGGUAUGUCUAGAGAAUACGAGAGACCAGUGGAACUUAUGGUGUAGCAGUGAAAUGCGUUGAUAUCAUAGGGAACACCAAAGGCGAAGGCAUCUGGUUGGCGUAUUUCUGACGCUGAGCCGCGAAAGCGUGGGUAGCGAAUGGGAUUAGAUACCCCAGUAGUCCACGCCCUAAACGAUGCACACUUGGCAUUUUGGGAAUCGACCCCUAAAGUGUCGUAGCUAACGCGUUAAGUGUGCCGCCUGGGAAGUACGAGCGCAAGCUUAAAACUCAAAGGAAUAGACGGGGGAUCCGCACAAGUGGUGGAUCAUGUGGUUUAAUUCGACGAUAAGCGAGGAACCUCACCAGGGCUUGAAAUCCAGCUGCAUUAUCCAGAAAUGGAUAAGCCUUCGAGGGUGCUGGACAGGUGUUGCAUGGUUGUCGUCAGCUCGUGCCGUAAGGUGUUCCGUUAAGUCGGGAAACGAGCGCAACCCCUUUCGUGUGUU